UACGGGGGGAGCAGGCGUUGUUCGGAUUUACUGGGCGUAAAGGGCGCGUAGGCGGCCACCGCAAGUCGACUGUGAAAUCUCCGGGCUUAACCCGGAAAGGUCAGCCGAUACUGCGGGGCUAGAGUGCAGAAGGGGCAACUGGAAUUCUCGGUGUAGCGGUGAAAUGCGUAGAUAUCGAGAGGAACACCUGCGGCGAAGGCGGGUUGCUGGGCUGAGCACGUGACGCUGGAGGCGCGAAAGCUAGGGGAGCGAACGGGAAUU
rnacentral:rRNA from 1 species